GGCUUCCCAGGCCUAGGUAUAGCUCAUGUACGGAUGAGUGAGAUUCAAAGGGUUGCCCCUCCUCAAAGCAUCUCUUCUGUCCUGCCAUUAGAUUGUCACUCUUCAGAAGGAGGAUGUGAUAAAUAGCUCUGAUCAUAGGAGCUAGCAAGUGCUGAGCUGUGUGGGUGCAGACCAUCAGAUAGACCCCAGCUUGUGCAGGGAGAAGAGCGGUGAUGAAGAGGCUGGUGGAGGCGGUCUGGCUUUGGAUCCAACACCCCACUAUAAAUACCUAGUGUUCAGAAGCGCUGGGAGAAAGAUCUGGCAACUGGAGGUGGCCACCAAGUGGACAGACAGGAAAGAGCAGGCUGCCCUGCUGCUCUGUGGUGUGCACUGAAGGGUGAUGCUUUUUUGCCAUUUUGAAUCCAUAAAAAGAAGUCAAACUUGCAAAAUACUCAAGUGAACUCAGGAGAACACGAGAGAGGCAAGCAAAUGGAAACCAUCCAAACUGAUUCAGAGUGAUGAAGGCAGCGAGCCACAUAAUGGGGUGUGGAAAGAUAUAAGACUGGUGGAAACGGGCCUAAAAUAUUCAGAUUAUAUCCACAGAAAGAGAAAAAUCGUGUGAAGAGAAAAUGGAGGACAGUU